UACGUAGGGUGCGAGCGUUGUCCGGAAUUAUUGGGCGUAAAGAGCUCGUAGGCGGUUUGUCGCGUCGACUGUGAAAACCCGAGGCUUAACCUCGGGCCUGCAGUCGAUACGGGCAGACUAGAGUUCGGUAGGGGAGACUGGAAUUCCUGGUGUAGCGGUGAAAUGCGCAGAUAUCAGGAGGAACACCGGUGGCGAAGGCGGGUCUCUGGGCCGGUACUGACGCUGAGACGCGAAAGCGUGGGGAGCGAACAGG
rnacentral:rRNA from 1 species